rnacentral:rRNA from 1 species
GGUUAAGCGACUAAGCGUACACGGUGGAUGCCCUGGCAGUCAGAGGCGAUGAAGGACGUGCUAAUCUGCGAUAAGCGUCGGUGAGGUGAUAUGAACCGUUAUAACCGGCGAUUUCCGAAUGGGGAAACCCAGUGUGUUUCGACACACUAUCAUUAACUGAAUCCAUAGGUUAAUGAGGCGAACCGGGGGAACUGAAACAUCUAAGUACCCCGAGGAAAAGAAAUCAACCGAGAUUCCCCCAGUAGCGGCGAGCGAACGGGGAGGAGCCCAGAGCCUGAAUCAGUGUGUGUGUUAGUGGAAGCGUCUGGAAAGGCGCGCGAUACAGGGUGACAGCCCCGUACACAAAAAUGCACAUAUUGUGAGCUCGAUGAGUAGGGCGGGACACGUGGUAUCCUGUCUGAAUAUGGGGGGACCAUCCUCCAAGGCUAAAUACUCCUGACUGACCGAUAGUGAACCAGUACCGUGAGGGAAAGGCGAAAAGAACCCCGGCGAGGGGAGUGAAAAAGAACCUGAAACCGUGUACGUACAAGCAGUGGGAGCCUCUUAAUGGGGUGACUGCGUACCUUUUGUAUAAUGGGUCAGCGACUUAUAUUCUGUAGCAAGGUUAACCGAAUAGGGGAGCCGAAGGGAAACCGAGUCUUAACUGGGCGUUAAGUUGCAGGGUAUAGACCCGAAACCCGGUGAUCUAGCCAUGGGCAGGUUGAAGGUUGGGUAACACUAACUGGAGGACCGAACCGACUAAUGUUGAAAAAUUAGCGGAUGACUUGUGGCUGGGGGUGAAAGGCCAAUCAAACCGGGAGAUAGCUGGUUCUCCCCGAAAGCUAUUUAGGUAGCGCCUCGUGAAUUCAUCUCCGGGGGUAGAGCACUGUUUCGGCAAGGGGGUCAUCCCGACUUACCAACCCGAUGCAAACUGCGAAUACCGGAGAAUGUUAUCACGGGAGACACACGGCGGGUGCUAACGUCCGUCGUGAAGAGGGAAACAACCCAGACCGCCAGCUAAGGUCCCAAAGUCAUGGUUAAGUGGGAAACGAUGUGGGAAGGCCCAGACAGCCAGGAUGUUGGCUUAGAAGCAGCCAUCAUUUAAAGAAAGCGUAAUAGCUCACUGGUCGAGUCGGCCUGCGCGGAAGAUGUAACGGGGCUAAACCAUGCACCGAAGCUGCGGCAGCGACGCUUAUGCGUUGUUGGGUAGGGGAGCGUUCUGUAAGCCUGUGAAGGUGUGCUGUGAGGCAUGCUGGAGGUAUCAGAAGUGCGAAUGCUGACAUAAGUAACGAUAAAGCGGGUGAAAAGCCCGCUCGCCGGAAGACCAAGGGUUCCUGUCCAACGUUAAUCGGGGCAGGGUGAGUCGACCCCUAAGGCGAGGCCGAAAGGCGUAGUCGAUGGGAAACAGGUUAAUAUUCCUGUACUUGGUGUUACUGCGAAGGGGGGACGGAGAAGGCUAUGUUGGCCGGGCGACGGUUGUCCCGGUUUAAGCGUGUAGGCUGGUUUUCCAGGCAAAUCCGGAAAACCAAGGCUGAGGCGUGAUGAC